GACGAACGCUGGCGGCGCGCCUAACACAUGCAAGUCGAACGAGCGAGCGAGAGCUUGCUUUCUCGAGCGAGUGGCGAACGGGUGAGUAACGCGUGAGGAACCUGCCUCAAAGAGGGGGACAACAGUUGGAAACGACUGCUAAUACCGCAUAAGCCCACGGCUCGGCAUCGAGCAGGGGGAAAAGGAGCAAUCCGCUUUGAGAUGGCCUCGCGUCCGAUUAGCUAGUUGGUGAGAUAACGGCCCACCAAGGCGACGAUCGGUAGCCGGACUGAGAGGUUGAACGGCCACAUUGGGACUGAGACACGGCCCAGACUCCUACGGGAGGCAGCAGUGGGGAAUAUUGCACAAUGGGGGAAACCCUGAUGCAGCGACGCCGCGUGGAGGAAGAAGGUCUUCGGAUUGUAAACUCCUGUUGUUGGGGAAGAUAAUGACGGUACCCAACAAGGAAGUGACGGCUAACUACGUG
rnacentral:rRNA from 1 species